rnacentral:rRNA from 1 species
CAGCCGCCGCGGGAAUACGGAGGGUGCGAGCGUUAAUCGGAAUAACUGGACGUAAAGGGCACGCAGGCGGUGACUUAAGUGAGGUGUGAAAGCCCCGGGCUUAACCUGGGAAUUGCAUUUCAUACUGGGUCGCUAGAGUACUUUAGGGAGGGGUAGAAUUCCACGUGCAGCGGUGAAAUGCGUAGAGAUGUGGAGGAAUACCGAAGGCGAAGGCAGCCCCUUGGGAAUGUACUGACGCUCAUGUGCGAAAGCGUGGGGAGCAAACAGGAUUAGAGACCCCCGUAGUCCCUGUCUCUUAUAC